rnacentral:rRNA from 1 species
CCUACGGGAGGCAGCAGCAAGGAAUUUUCGGCAAUGGGCGCAAGCCUGACCGAGCAACGCCGCGUGGAGGAUGACGGCCUUCGGGUUGUAAACUCCUUUUGAAGGGGAUGAUACAAGACAGUACCCUUCGAAUAAGCCCCGGCUAACUCUGUGCCAGCAGCCGCGGUAAGACAGAGGGGGCAAGCGUUGUCCGGAAUUACUGGGCGUAAAGGGCACGCAGGUGGCACGGUACGUGUGGUGUGACAGCGGACGGCUUAACCGUCCGAGGCCAUCACAGACUGCCGAGCUUGAGCCGUUCAGAGGUCAGCGGAAUUGCCGGUGUAGGAGUGAAAUCCGUAGAUACCGGCAGGAACACCCACGGGGAAGCCAGCUGACUGGGAACGUGCUGACACUCAGGUGCGAUAGCGUGGGGAGCGAACCGGAUUAGAUACCCGGGUAGUCCACGCCGUAAACGAUGAUGACUCGACCUUUGGGGGGGUAAAACUCCUUGGGGGUCACAGCAAACGCGAUAAGUCAUCCGCCUGGGAAGUACGAGCGCAAGCUUAAAACUCAAAGGAAUUGACGGGGACCCGCACAAGCAGCGGAGCGUGUGGUUUAAUUCGACGCAACGCGCAAAACCUCACCUAGAUUUGACAUGGAGCUGCAGCCCUGAAAACAGGGUCGCCUUCGAGGGUGCUCCACCGGUGCUGCAUAGGCUGUCGUCGGCUCGUGUCGUGAGAUGUUGGGUUAAGUUCCGCAACAAGCGAAACCCUCCGC